rnacentral:rRNA from 1 species
CCUACGGGGGGCAGCAGUGAGGAAUAUUGGUCAAUGGGCGAGAGCCUGAACCAGCCAAGUCGCGUGAGGGAGUACUGCCCUAUGGGUUGUAAACCUCUUUUGUCGGGGAGCAAAAGCCGGACGUGUCCGGCUGUGAGAGUACCCGAAGAAAAAGCAUCGGCUAACUCCGUGCCAGCAGCCGCGGUAAUACGGGGGAUGCGAGCGUUAUCCGGAUUUAUUGGGUUUAAAGGGUGCGCAGGCGGAUUUUUAAGUCAGCGGUAAAAUCGUGGGGCUCAACCCCAUCCAGCCGUUGAAACUGGGGAUCUAGAGUGUGCGAGAGGUAUGCGGAAUGCGUGGUGUAGCGGUGAAAUGCAUAGAUAUCACGCAGAACCCCGAUUGCGAAGGCAGCAUACCGGUGCACAACUGACGCUCAGGCACGAAAGCGUGGGUAUCGAACAGGAUUAGAUACCCGGGUAGUC